rnacentral:rRNA from 1 species
GAUGAACGCUGGCGGCGUGCUUAACACAUGCAAGUCGAACGGGAAUUACUUUAUUGAAACUUCGGUCGAUUUAACUUAAUUCUAGUGGCGGACGGGCGAGUAACGCAUGGGUAACCUGCCUUAUACAGGGGGAUAACAGUCAGAAAUGACUGCUAAUACCGCAUAAGCGCACAGAGCUGCAUGGCUCAGUGUGAAAAACUCCGGUGGUAUAAGAUGGACCCGCGUUGGAUUAGCUGGUUGGUGAGGUAACGGCCCACCAAGGCGACGAUCCAUGGCCGGCCUGAGAGGGUGAACGGCCACAUUGGGACUGAGACACGGCCCAGACUCCUACGGGAGGCAGCAGUGGGGAAUAUUGCACAAUGGGGGAAACCCUGAUGCAGCGACGCCGCGUGAAGGAAGAAGUAUCUCGGUAUGUAAACUUCUAUCAGCAGGGAAGAGCUUGACGGUACCUGACUAAGAAGCCCCGGCUAACUACGUGCCAGCAGCAGCCACGGUAA